rnacentral:rRNA from 1 species
AGCAGCCGCGGUAAUUCCAGCUCCAAUAGCGUAUAUUAAAGUUGUUGCAGUUAAAAAGCUCGUAGUUGAAUUUCGGGAUUGACGUAAUGGUCAUGCCCUAAGGGGUUUGAACUGUUACUGUUGAUUUCUCACCUUCUGGAAAAACUUGAUGUCCUUAAUUGGGUGUCUUGCGGAUCCAGGACCUUUACCUUGAAAAAAUUAGAGUGUUUAAAGCAGGCAUUUUGCUCGAAUACAUUAGCAUGGAAUAAUAGAAUAGGACGGCAUGGUUCUAUUUUGUUGGUUUCUAGGAUCACCGUAAUGAUUAAUAGGGAUAGUUGGGGGCAUUAGUAUUCAAUUGCCAGAGGUGAAAUUCUUGGAUUUAUUGAAGACUAACUACUGCGAAAGCAUUUGCCAAGGAUGUUUUCAUUAAUCAAGAACGAAAGUUAGGGGAUCGAAGACGAUCAGAUACCGUCGUAGUCUUAACCAUAAACUAUGCCGACUAGGAAUCAGACGAUGUUAAUUUUUUAAUGUACUCGUUGGC